AAGAUGAAAAGGACUUUGA
rnacentral:snRNA from 1 species